rnacentral:rRNA from 1 species
GAUGAACGCUGGCGGCGUGCCUAAUACAUGCAAGUCGAGCGAACGGACGAGAAGCUUGCUUCUCUGAUGUUAGCGGCGGACGGGUGAGUAACACGUGGAUAACCUACCUAUAAGACUGGGAUAACUUCGGGAAACCGGAGCUAAUACCGGAUGAUAUCUUGAACCGCAUGGUUCAAAAGUGAAAGACGGUCUUGCUGUCACUUAUAGAUGGAUCCGCGCUGCAUUAGCUAGUUGGUAAGGUAACGGCUUACCAAGGCAACGAUGCAUAGCCGACCUGAGAGGGUGAUCGGCCACACUGGAACUGAGACACGGUCCAGACUCCUACGGGAGGCAGCAGUAGGGAAUCUUCCGCAAUGGGCGAAAGCCUGACGGAGCAACGCCGCGUGAGUGAUGAAGGUCUUCGGAUCGUAAAACUCUGUUAUUAGGGAAGAACAUAUGUGUAAGUAACUGUGCACAUCUUGACGGUACCUAAUCAGAAGGCCACGGCUAACUACGUG